UCUCGAUGAUGAAUAAAUCAAAUAGAUGACGAGUCCGAUCUAAUCCAUUCCAUUCUUAUGAGGACAAAUCGAGGCAUUUGUCUGAGAGAA
rnacentral:snoRNA from 1 species